UCCAGAUCAAGGAAGAAGAGUAGCAGCUCAAGAGUCUCCUGCUGGGUAGCUACAGUUUUGCAGGUGUCUGCGUUCCCUCAAGUAGCAGCAAAAUUCAUCAGGCUGAUCCUGCACCACUACACCAUGAGCUUGAAGGUAUAUAACCAGAUGCUUGUGUUCUGCUGGAGAAUCUGUGUGUGUGUGAAGUCUUCCAUUGUUUUGGUUCAAUCUUGCUGUAGUCCUCUGCUAUGUUAAAGGUACAGCCUGUCUGAUUAACUGUUGCUGAAGCAUCUGUAUCCAGCUAUUCAUCUGCAGCCUGAAGGUAUUAUGAACCAUUGGUACCUACCAUGGAUCUCUUUUCCCUUCCCUGAGCUGGGCAGUUGGAGUAGGGGAACAGCCAGCCAAAGUCUGGCUUAUCUUAUUUCCUCACGCCUCACUUAUCUCUACACACCUUGUGGCACACUUCAAAGGAUUUGACAGAACCAAGACUGUCCCAGAACCCUAGUUGAGGAUCACUGGAUUAUGCUAUACAUCUCAACUUUAGAUCAGACCAUUGUCUAUUUGAUCCUUCAAAGAAAAUGAGCUCCCUGCCUGUCCCCAGUCUAAUAUACGUUUGUGUACAAUUUUGUAUGCAACCAGAAAGGUUCCCUUUGAUUUAUGUAUGUGAUCAGCAGGGAUCCUGGUUUUCCAUUUCCCACGGAAAAACAGAGAAAACCGCAGAUUUCCCCUUUUUAUCAGAGAAAAUGAGGAUUUCUCCUUUUAGCAGAUAAACCUGGGGAUUCCCUGCUUUUACAAACAGCUCUGAAGGCUGGUUGAGCACCAGCAUGCAAGAGUUUUUUGC